UAGUCUAUUAUAUGGCCACAUCACUUUUACACGUUUGACACUACUGGCUUGCAUGACAAAGCGCAUUAAGGGAGUCGCCGAUCCGUUGGCUGAAGCAGAGCAGCAUCAUCAGUGCAACCAUCAAAUUGCGUUGGCUAUAUCACAUCAAAACGAGGGGGGAGAAGGGUGCAGAGCUCAAUUCUGGUGAAUAAAUGUCGGUUACAGGGUGCAGCAAUCAAUACACGAGAAAAACAGAUGGUGCUUGAAGGCGAAAGACCUUCAGCAGCAAUAAGAAGAUAAUAAAUGCAGGUAAUGCCGAAAUUGACACUUCCAGAAAAUCCGAUUUUUCAUUCUGUGGUUCCUCGUGAUGCCUGUGACUCCGCGUACUACCUGUACUUGCAAUUAAAUACUCGACGCUUUUCCUCCGAAACAAGUAGUUUUUUUACUCGAUGCUUUUUUCGAGUUUGGUUAAUUUUUGAUAUUUUUGGUAUAUGUAAUGCUGUAACUAUCACUUAUCAUAAAUUCA